CUGAGAUGGCCCCCAGUGAAGGCUGGCUAACUUCCAUUUGUCUGCUUGGUUGUUCAGUGCCACCUCAGGGGCAGAUCACUGCCACCACUUGAUCUAGCUGAAGUAGUUCUAGCUGGAAGAAUAGAGAAUUAAAAGAAAUCUUUGUGAAGCCACCACUCAGACACUGCCACAAUGAACAUCCUGGGUCAUCUCUCUCUGGUCCCCUGUGUGAGUUCCCCAAGAUAUGGAUGUAGGAAUGGGAUUAC